AUGCAGUUAACAGACACAUCAGCCAUUCCACCCUCCAAGCAUUUGAGAGGCCAUCUGCACACACACCACCAAGCCUUCUGCCACCAGGAAGUGGUCACUUCCUCCUUUGCUGCAGAGUAUCCUCAUGGAAUAAUAAAGUGGAGGAAUUCCAUGGGAACUGGAACAACCUCCAGGAAGUGAUGCAGGAGCAAAAGGAGCACAGCCAGGAGAACAUUUUACACAGAGACUGAUACACUGUGGUACAAUUGAAAGUAAUGGACUUCUCCAUUAGUGGCAAUGCAGUGUUCCUGAACAACACGAAGUGGUCUAUGAGAAAAAACACUAUCCACAUCUGUGGGAGUAGAAACACAGAAGUAAAACAACUGCUUGAUUACAUGGGUCGAGGGGAUAUGAUUGGGGAUGUAGACUCUAAAUGAACAUCCUAAUGCAAACACCAACAACAUGGAAAUGGGUUCUGAUCAAGGACACAUGUAAUACCCAGUGGAAUUGUGCAUCAACUAUGGGAGAGGUGGGGGAAGGGGAGGGAGGAAUAGAAUAUGAUUUUUGUAACCAAGGAAGAAUGUUUGAAAUUGAC
rnacentral:lncRNA from 1 species